rnacentral:rRNA from 1 species
GGUGAGUAACACGUGGGCAACCUGCCUGUAAGACUGGGAUAACAUCGAGAAAUCGGUGCUAAUACCGGAUAAUAAAAAGAACUGCAUGGUUCUUUUUUGAAAGAUGGUUUCGGCUAUCACUUACAGAUGGGCCCGCGGCGCAUUAGCUAGUUGGUGGGGUAACGGCUCACCAAGGCGACGAUGCGUAGCCGACCUGAGAGGGUGAUCGGCCACACUGGGACUGAGACACGGCCCAGACUCCUACGGGAGGCAGCAGUAGGGAAUCUUCCGCAAUGGACGAAAGUCUGACGGAGCAACGCCGCGUGAGUGAUGAAGGUUUUCGGAUCGUAAAACUCUGUUGUUAGGGAAGAACAAGUGCCGUUCGAAAGGGCGGCACCUUGACGGUACCUAACGAGAAAGCCACGGCUAACUACGUGCCAGCAGCCGCGGUAAUACGUAGGUGGCAAGCGUUGUCCGGAAUUAUUGGGCGUAAAGCGCGCGCAGGCGGUCUCUUAAGUCUGAU